CCUACGGGGGGCUGCAGUGGGGAAUAUUGCACAAUGGGCGCAAGCCUGAUGCAGCCAUGCCGCGUGUGUGAAGAAGGCCUUCGGGUUGUAAAGCACUUUCAGCGGGGAGGAAGGCGGUGAGGUUAAUAACCUCAUCGAUUGACGUUACCCGCAGAAGAAGCACCGGCUAACUCCGUGCCAGCAGCCGCGGUAAUACGGAGGGUGCAAGCGUUAAUCGGAAUCACUGGGCGUAAAGCGCACGCAGGCGGUCUGUCAAGUCGGAUGUGAAAUCCCCGGGCUCAACCUGGGAACUGCAUUCGAAACUGGCAGGCUAGAGUCUUGUAGAGGGGGGUAGAAUUCCAGGUGUAGCGGUGAAAUGCGUAGAGAUCUGGAGGAAUACCGGUGGCGAAGGCGGCCCCCCGGACAAAGACUGACGCUCAGGUGCGAAAGCGUGGGGAGCAAACAGGAUUAGAUACCCUAGUAGUC
rnacentral:rRNA from 1 species